rnacentral:rRNA from 1 species
AAAUUGAAGAGUUUGAUCAUGGCUCAGAUUGAACGCUGGCGGCAGGCCUAACACAUGCAAGUCGAACGGUAACAGAAAGCAGCUUGCUGCUUUGCUGACGAGUGGCGGACGGGUGAGUAAUGUCUGGGAAACUGCCUGAUGGAGGGGGAUAACUACUGGAAACGGUAGCUAAUACCGCAUAACGUCGCAAGACCAAAGAGGGGGACCCUCGGGCCU